rnacentral:lncRNA from 1 species
AAUCAGCACGAAUCGAGGAACCCCUAAAAGCAUGAUGACGACAAUUAGAAUCGAAGAAGGGAGCAACAAUAAAAAUUUGUAAAAGAAGCAAAGGAAAGAGAGAACGUUAGAAAAGGAUUGGGAAACAGAAAAAAAAUAAACGUGAAAAGAAAAAUGGAGAGGGAAAUUUUGAGGAAAGGAAAAAUAAAAAAAAUAAAAAAAAAUUUAAGAUAACCAGAAUCCCAACUCCCCACUAACCCACUGAAACCGAUAUCAGAUUCUCAUCCAACAACUUCAGAGUUUCAGUUCCAUCAAAUCUCUGUCACACCAUCGAAACAAAAAUUAUCAUCCACGCUCAUACAAAAAUUUGAACACGAAAC